GCGCCUGUCGUUCAAUGGACAGGAUUCGAGGCUACGAACCUCGCGAUGGUGGUUCGAUUCCAUCCAGGCGCGCCA
rnacentral:tRNA from 1 species